rnacentral:lncRNA from 1 species
UGUCCUGUUUUGAAAGAGGCCCAUUUAUUGGGUAAUGACGGCAGCCUGUUAGGCAGAAGUCAGGCCAGGAGUAGUCACUUCUAUUAUUUUAUUCAACGAAUGCCUACUGAUCAUCUCCCGGGUGCCAGGCCUGUAGCGGGGGUUCAGUAGUGACCAAGGACUCAGACCCUGCCUUGGCUACCCACAUCACCGAAGAAAUGAGUUAUCAGGCGACAAGGUGACUCCUGGUGCUCAGUACUUGAAAAUACAAGACACCAGAGCGGGAAAUCCUCUCUCAUACUAAGAGUGCACACUUUGCCUCUCGUUAGAACAGGGGUAAUGCCGGGUUUGCAUUUCUUUGGACCUUUUCACUUCAUUUAAUAGUAACACUUGAAACUGGUGUCAAACAUCCUCAUACUUUCCUUCCUUUCUCAUGAAACUGUUCUAGUAUCUGGCUGAUAGCACCGUGUCUACCUUUAUGUAGCUCAGGUUUUGUUGGGUUUUUGUUGUUGUUGUUGUUUGCUUGUUUUUAAUGUGCUAACAUUAUGUUUGGGCUUUUUUGCUUGCUUUUUGAAGUAAGUUUUUAAAAUUCAGAAUUCCAGGAAAGACUUUCUUUUCUCACUUACUAGGUUAACAGAACACUAGCCAUGUGGUUCUAACCUCUGGGGUUUUUAGGCAGCAAAAAUCUCAUCACAUCGCCAGAGAAAUAACCACAAAUUCCCACGACACAUUUCGGGCGGUAUCACAGCUCCUGGCCUGCUUGAGGACUGUGGGAGUGAGUCACUGCUGGAGAUCUGAGCUGGACGCUGCCCGGAGUCCUUCUGCACUGAUAUUCUGUCCCUUUUCCUGUUUCUUCCACAACCUCGCCCUCCUGUCCCCUGGCCUAAGACCUACUGACAUCAAGAAGCUUCAGGAAACCUCAUCCUAUAAAUCAAGUGGUGGCCUACUCAUAGCAAAGUCCUUACAGAUACCUUUAUUUAUUUAUUUAUUUAUUUAAGAGGUGAGGCCUCAGUAUGUUGCCCAGGCGGCACUCAAACAAGCCUGCCGCCUCAGCCUCCCAAGUAGCUUGGACUAUAUAUAUGAGCCACUGGACCUGACUCAGAUAUGUUUAUAUAUUUGCCU